CAAUAAGCGGAGGAAAAGAAACCAACAGGGAUUGCCCUAGUAACGGCGAGUGAAGCGGCAACAGCUCAAAUUUGAAAUCUGGCUUCGGCCCGAGUUGUAAUUUGCAGAGGAAGCUUUAGGCGCGGCACCUUCUGAGUCCCCUGGAACGGGGCGCCAUAGAGGGUGAGAGCCCCGUAUAGUUGGAUGCCUAGCCUGUGUAAAGCUCCUUCGACGAGUCGAGUAGUUUGGGAAUGCUGCUCAAAAUGGGAGGUAAAUUUCUUCUAAAGCUAAAUACCGGCCAGAGACCGAUAGCGCACAAGUAGAGUGAUCGAAAGAUGAAAAGCACUUUGAAAAGAGGGUUAAAUAGCACGUGAAAUUGUUGAAAGGGAAGCGCUUGUGACCAGACUUGCGCCGGGCUGAUCAUCCGGUGUUCUCACCGGUGCACUCUGCCCGGCUCAGGCCAGCAUCGGUUCUCGCGGGGGGAUAAAGGCCCUGGGAAUGUAGCUCCUCCGGGAGUGUUAUAGCCCGGGGUGUAAUACCCUCGCGGGGACCGAGGUUCGCGCAUCUGCAAGGAUGCUGGCGUAAUGGUCAUCAGCGACCCGUCUUGAAACACGGACCAAGGAGUCAAGGUUUUGCGCGAGUGUUUGGGUGUAAAACCCGCACGCGUAAUGAAAGUGAACGUAGGUGAGAGCUUCGGCGCAUCAUCGACCGAUCCUGAUGUAUUCGGAUGGAUUUGAGUAGGAGCGUUAAGCCUUGGACCCGAAAGAUGGUGAACUAUGCUUGGAUAGGGUGAAGCCAGAGGAAACUCUGGUGGAGGCUCGCAGCGGUUCUGACGUGCAAAUCGAUCGUCAAAUCUGAGCAUGGGGGCGAAAGACUAAUCGAACCAUCUAGUAGCUGGUUACCGCU
rnacentral:sRNA from 1 species